rnacentral:rRNA from 1 species
GUUUGAUCCUGGCUCAGAUUGAACGCUGGCAGGAUGUACUUUACACAUGCAAGUCGAACGGCAGCACGGACUUCAGGUCUGGGCGGCGAUGGCAACGGGUGAGUAAUGUAUCGGAACGUGCCUAGUAGCGGGGAUAACUACGCGAAGCGUAGCUAAUACCGCAUACGCCCUUCGAGGAAAGCAGGACCUUCGGGCCUGUCUCGCACUAUUAGAGGAAGCAGCCGAUAUCGGAUUAGCUAGUUGGUGGGGUAACGGCAACAAGGCGACGAUCCGUAGCUGGUUUGAAGGACGACCAAUACUGGGACUGGGGCGGCCCAGACUCCUACGGGAGGCAGCAGUGGGGAAUUUUGGACAAUGGGGAAACCCUGAUCCAGCCAUCCCGUAGUGAUAAUGCGAUGAAGACCCUUCGGGUUGUAAAGACCUUUUAGCGGAAAGAAGCAGCACAGGAUAAUACCCCGUGCAACUGACUAUUACUGCAGAAUAGCUUCAAGCUAACUACUGUUGCCAGCAAUAGCGAUGUGGCGAAGGUGCAAGCGUUAAUCGGAAUUACUGGGCGUAAAGCGUGCGCAGGCGGUUCGGAAAGAAAGAUGUGAAAUCCAGAGCAGCACGGAACUGCAUUUUGCUACCGAGCUGAAGUGUGUCAGAGGAAGGUGAAUUCGCGUGUAGCAGUGGAAAGUGUGAAUGUGCGGAGGAACACCGUGAUGGCGAAGGCAGCCUCCUGGGAUAACACUGACGCUCAUGCACAGCAUUGGGAGCAAGCAGGAUUGAUCCUGGUAUCCGCCCUAAACGAUGUCAACUAGCUGUUGGGGCCUUCCGGGCCUUGGUAGCGCAGCUAACGCGUGAAGUUGACCGCCUGGGGAUACGGUCGCAAGAUUAAAACUCAAAAGGAAUUGACGGGGACCCGCACAAGCGAUUGGAUGAUGGAUUAAUUGAUGCAACGCGAAGAAAACCUGCCUACUACCCUUGACAUGUCUGGAAUCCCGAAGAGAUUGGGAGUGCUCGCAAGAGAACCGGAACACAGGUGCUGCAUGGCUGUCGUCAGCUCGUGUCAGUGAGAUGUUGAGUUCAAGUCCCUGUGAGCGCAUACUAUCAUUAGUUGCUACGAAGGGCACUCUAAUGAGACUGCCGGUAUUGACAAACCGGAGGAAGAUUACAGGACGACGUCAGUCCUCCCAUGGCCCUUAUGGGUAGGGCUUCACACGUCAUACAAUGGUCGGGACAGAGGGUCGCCAACCCGCGAGGAGCCAAUCCCAGAAACCCGAUCGUAGUCCGGAUCGCAGUCUGCAAUAUUCACGUGGUCGGAAUCGCUAGUAAUCGCGGAUCAGCAUCGUGUGCGGUGACCGUUCCACAGAUAUGCACCGCCCGUCACACCCGCGCAGAGUGGGUUUUGCAAGUAGUUAGCCUAUGGCAACAAGGAGGCGAUUACAGUACAGAGGUUGGCUGGGGUGAAGUCGCCGCUAAAGAUAA